AGUCACCUCAAUCACCACACUUGCCAUUGUGAUUUUACAUGGUUAGUGUUAUUUCUUACAGGUAAUGCUGUUUUGUCCGGAAAGUUGCUGACCUUGUAGCCCAGCCAAUAUUUUGGUGAAGAAGUAGAAGUUCCUGGAUGAAGAGUCUUGGUCAGGAGGUUCUCCUCCACGUGGUAAUCCAUGGAUCCAGUCUCCAACCAACUCAUGGCUGUAUAUCUGUCUGGCUGGUAAACAAAAAGAAAGAACAUGCAGAAUGCAGCCCUUGUUCAAUGACACUAAAGGAAGAUAGAAGACUUCAGGAGAAAAUGCAAGCCUAUCUCUAUUAGCUGUGGUGCAACGGCCGAAGCAGCAACUCCAAGGUGAUUUGGUGUUCUGCAGUGUAACUUGAACAUUUAGUCUUAAACAAAUGAAUAGCCUGAAAGCAGAGAAUCAAUAGUUCUCUGAGAACAGUGUUUGCAUUUUCCUUCCGAUUAUGGCAUUCUCCCAAUAACUUAGAUUUCCUUUAAUGACAGUGAUCUUGGGCAGCUUCAGAUGCUCUGACCCAGUGCCCAACCAGAUCUUAUUAAAACUUUUGUUAUUUGUGUACACUACAGUUUAUGUGCUAUCUGCAUAAUGUCCCUUUUCCUGGUAGGAAGAAAAUCACAGACAAAUGCGUUAGAAUGUAUUAUGUUAUAAUUCAUGUCUAAGAAAUUUUGAGGUAUUUGGUUCUAAAACACCUUGUACUAAUUUCUCAGUUAUCCCAGUACUUCCUCAAACCUCCUUAAAUGUUAUGAUUUUGGUCCCUACCAAGCAUGGUUAUCAAUGACUCUGUGAUUUCUUCUAAUAGGCAAAAUGCAAUAGGUAUAUUAAAAUAUAAGCCUAAGUCAUUUACAGCUUGACUUGUAUGGCUUUUGAUUCCUUUUGAACACCUGUCGACACGUACCAGUGGACACCCUGAAUCUCAAGUGGUGAGAAUAGCACAUGGUUCAAGUGGACCUCUGCCAACUCUGCUGCCAGAGUCCCAGUACAGUGGAUGGUUAAAACCACAUAUGGUUCAACCAGAUUCUAUGGGGCAGAAUGGGAAAGACAGACUUCUGGGCCUGUCAUAGAACAAAGAUCCAACCAGACAGCCAUUUUCAGGGCUGCCAAGAGUAUUAUUCAGAGAGAUGUGCACAGCAAUAAGAGACAGGCAAGUUACCCAUUUUGAGAUCCAAGAAAACGAAGUUUGUCAGCUAUGCACCCCAUGCCAUGGUAAUAGGUAAGCUCUUUGGUCGCAUUUUCAAGGAGAUGUGUUUGCUUGCUUUAGCCUCUAUUCCAAUCUCCUGAUUGCAAUUUAAGAGAAAUGAAAAAAUCUAGCCUGGCCUCAUAUUUAUUCAAUUUUUUUUUUUUUUUUUAGGGCCAUACUCAUGGCAUAUGGAGGUUCCCAGGCUGGGGUCUAAUUGGAGCUACAGCUGCUGGCCUACACCACAGUCACAGCAAUGCCAGAUUCAAGCCACAUUUGCAUCAUACACCACAGCUCAUGGCAAUGCAGGAUCCUGAACCCACUGAGCGAGGCCAGGGAUUGAACCCGCAACGUCAUGGUUCCUAGUCAGAUUCAUUUCCACUGAGCCACAAUAGGACCUCCUUCAUUCAAAAUUUGAUGCUUAAAAGGUAGGAAAAUAGUGGAGUAUUGUCCAAUAUAAAAAGAAUAAAUUGGACUUAAAAUUUUCUUUUACCA
rnacentral:lncRNA from 1 species